rnacentral:rRNA from 1 species
CAAGUUAAGUUUAACUUGGUAAAAAAGGAAGUCAAAUUAAAAAGUGAAAAGAAGGCUAAUUUAGGGUGAAGGGGUGGAAUCCGCACACAAUAAGUUGUACUAUUACUUCUUUUUUUUGACGCUUCGAAAACUAAAUGAGAGACCGGGAUUAGAUACCCCGUUAUUUUUUUUGUAAAUUUUGAUUGUUAUCAGUUUACCUGAGUAUUACGGGUUAAAAUAUUUUUACGGGCUUAAAGUUUGUCCGUGGGUUAUUUAGAUACUUAAAACUCAAAAAACUUGGCGGUGCCUUAUUUCCUCCCAGGGGAACCUGUCCUGUAAUCGAUGAUCCACGAUUAAUCUUACUUUUUUUUGAAUUUAUGUGUAUAUAUUAUCAGUUUGUAUACCGUCGUCGUCAGAUUACCUUUAAGAGUUAAAAAGUUGUCUGUUAAAUUAGGAAUUACUUUCAUGCUAUUUAGGUGUGUAAUUAGAUUUAAUUUUUGAUGUCAGAUCAAGGUGCAGCUUAUAAAAAAGUAGAGAUGGGUUACAAUAUAAAUUUUAUAUUAUGGAUACUGGCUUGAAACAGCUAGGUGAAAGCGGACUUGGGAAGUAAUUUAUAAUGUGUUAAAUUAGUAAGUUUAUGUGAAUAUAGGUACUAAGGUGCGC